GUUUACCUGUAUUUCUUUUGCUUCAGUUCAACAUUAUAUUCAAAUAGUUCCACUUUGUAAUGGUGUGUUAUAAUAGUCAUAAUAAUAAUAUAAGCAAACAGGUUCACAUGGCACUCGAACAUGGUCUUUUCAACAAGUACGUAAAGGUAAGUUUAUACUUCAAAAAGGUCUGUUUUAACCUGACAAGAAUGCUGUCCAAAAUCAACUAAAAUCAAUCUUUGUGAUCUUUCAAUGAAAUUUCAUACGUUGAAUCGACAACCCUGCAUGAGCUACUACCGUAUAUGUCUUUUGAUGUUUGUGUUUGGUUUGCUUAAUGUUGAUACUAGAAAUUGAUGAAAAUGCAAUUUAAUAUUUGGAUGUUGAUAGAGAUUCUAAGGAUUGAAUGGAAACUGAUUGUUCCUUGUGAGGACUUGAGAAAACUGUUUCUCUUCUUUUGGGUUAACAAUCGAAGUAUACCCAACAAAAACUUAUUUCCUGUUUUUCUUACGCAAAA
rnacentral:lncRNA from 1 species